rnacentral:misc_RNA from 1 species
GAAAUGCGAUAAGUAGUGUGAAUGGCAGAAUUCAGUGAAUCAUCGAAUCUUUGAACGCACAUUGCGCCCCUUGGGAUUCCAUGGGGCAUGCCGGUUCGAGCGUCAUUUGUACCCUCAAGCUUUGCUUGGUGUUGGGUGUUUGUCCUCUCUGGAGGACUCGCCUUAAAACAAUCGGCACCCGGCAUAUCGGUAUCGGAGCCCAGCACAAGUCGCGCUUCUUUCCAUGAAUGUCAGCAUCCAUCAAGACUCUUUUCACUCUUGACCUCGGAUCAGGUAGGGAUCCCCGCUGAACUUAA